rnacentral:rRNA from 1 species
GCGGAGUGGCCCUUCGGGGUACUCGAGCGGCGAACGGGUGAGUAACACGUGAGCAACCUGCCCCAAGCUUUGGGAUAACCCUCGGAAACGGGGGCUAAUACCGAAUAGGACUUCUGGCCGCAUGGCUGGUGGUGGAAAGUUUUUCGGCUUGGGAUGGGCUCGCGGCCUAUCAGCUUGUUGGUGGGGUGAUGGCCUACCAAGGCGACGACGGGUAGCCGGCCUGAGAGGGCGACCGGCCACACUGGGACUGAGACACGGCCCAGACUCCUACGGGAGGCAGCAGUGGGGAAUAUUGCACAAUGGGCGGAAGCCUGAUGCAGCGACGCCGCGUGAGGGAUGACGGCCUUCGGGUUGUAAACCUCUUUCAGCAGGGACGAAGCGAGAGUGACGGUACCUGCAGAAGAAGCACCGGCCAACUACGUGCCAGCAGCCGCGGUAAGACGUAGGGUGCGAGCGUUGUCCGGAUUUAUUGGGCGUAAAGAGCUCGUAGGCGGCUUGUCGCGUCGACCGUGAAAACUUGGGGCUCAACCCCAAGCCUGCGGUCGAUACGGGCAGGCUAGAGUUCGGUAGGGGAGACUGGAAUUCCUGGUGUAGCGGUGAAAUGCGCAGAUAUCAGGAGGAACACCGGUGGCGAAGGCGGGUCUCUGGGCCGAUACUGACGCUGAGGAGC